AGCAGUAUAGCUAAAUGGUAGAGCAUUUGCCUAGCAUGUUUGAGGACUGGGUUUCAUUCCCAGCACUGCAA
rnacentral:tRNA from 1 species